rnacentral:rRNA from 1 species
UACGUAGGGGGCAAGCGUUGUCUGGAUUCAUUGGGCGUAAAGAGCGUGUAGGCGGCCAGGUAGGUCGGUUGUGAAAACUGGAGGCUCAACCUUCAGAGGUCGACCGAAACCAUCUGGCUAGAGUCCGGGAGAGGAGAGUGGAAUUCCUGGUGUAGCGGUGAAAUGCGCAGAUAUCAGGAAGAACACCCGUGGCGAAAGCGGCUCUCUGGAACGGUACUGACGCUGAGACGCGAAAGCGUGGGGAGCGAACAGG